UACAGAGGUCUCAAGCGUUGUUCGGAUUCAUUGGGCGUAAAGGGUGCGUAGGUGGUGAUGCAAGUCUGGUGUGAAAUCUCGGAGCUCAACUCCGAAAUUGCACCGGAUACUGCGUGACUCGAGGACUGUAGAGGAGAUCGGAAUUCACGGUGUAGCGGUGAAAUGCGCAGAUAUCAGGAGGAACACCGAUGGCGAAGGCAGGUCUCUGGGCCACUACUGACGCUGAGAAGCGAAAGCAUGGGGAGCGAACAGG
rnacentral:rRNA from 1 species